GAUGAAGAACGCAGCGAAAUGCGAUAAGUAAUGUGAAUUUCAGAAUUCAGUGAAUCAUCGAAUCUUUGAACGCACAUUGCGCCCGCCAGUAUUCUGGCGAGCAUGCCUGUUCGAGCGUCAUUUCGACCAUCAAGCCCCAGGCUUGUGUUGGAGCCCUGCGGCUGCCGCAGCCUCCCAAAACCAGUGGCGGGCUCGCUAUCACACCGAGUGCAGUAGUUUACUCUUCGCUCAGGGCGUGUGGCGGGUGCUAGCCGUGAAACCCCCAACUUCUCAAGGUUGACCUCGGAUCAGGUAGGAAUACCCGCUGAACUUAAGCAUAUCAAUAAGCGGAGGA
rnacentral:misc_RNA from 1 species